AGAAAGAAAGAAAGAAAGAAAGAAAGAAAGAAAGAAAGAAAGAAAGAUGAAAAGUGGCUAUGAUCAACAAUUGUAAAAUUCAUGGAGAGCUUUAUUUGGUAAAAUAAAUAGAGUGAAAUUCUCAUUAUACUAAAAGAAAAAGAGAAAGUAGUUUAUUAUUCCCAACAGAUUAGAAACAGACUAAAAACCUAAAUAAUUUUAAUAAUAGCCUAACUGAAUGAAUAAAUGGCAUCUCAUUGAGGAAACAUGCUUUGCUCAUCUACUGAGGUUGAUAAUUCUUGAAGUCACAGUAUACUUCUCUUUCCCAUAGUCAGAAUCCUGUUGUGGUUGCAUAAUUGAAUUUAUCUGUCAUUUUAAAGACUAAAAGAAGACAGAAUCUCGGCUCUGUAUUCUCAAACCAAAAAAGGUAGUUCAGCCCUGAUUUUCGUCUCUUAUUAUCCAAGUAAAGAAGAGUCUUCAGGCCAGGAAUGUAGCUCAGUAGUAGAGUGCAUGAAUAGCAUUUGUGAGGCCUGGGGUUCAAUCACAAGCACUGUAGAGAGACAGGGGUGGGCUAGAGAUUAUUCUGACUGGAUCUUGUCUCAACAAAACACAGAAAAAGAAAAAAGGAAACAUGAUUAUAUACUACUGUGCAUCCAUUUUUUCAGUUUUUCAUUGAUUCAUUGUUCACUAACUGCAGUAUGUAGGGACACAAAGAGGCAGCAUCACCAGAAUUUUAGAACUGAAUAAGAUCCUAAUCUAACUCCUUUUCCCCUAGAGUCUGGCUUUUCUGUACAAUGUUGUUUCGAGAUUUAGAGGCUAGUCCCAGGCCUAUGCUCAAAUAUUUCCCAAGAUAGCACUCCCUGUCUUUGGCCAGCUCAGAGUUCAUGUAUAAAUUAUUAUUCUUAUAUUCAGACAAAAACCUGUUUCCCUAUAACUUUCACUUACAAUUUGAAUGGAAGAAUUUAUAAAGAAUUUUCUGAGCUAGGAACAGUGGCACAUGCCUAUAGUCCCUAUAUUUGAGAAGCUGAGGCUGAAGGAUUGCCAAUUUAUGGAUAGCCCGGGCUAUACAGUGAAACCCUAAUUAAAAAAAAAAAAAGUUGUUUCUGUCUUCUUCCACAUUAUAGCUCUUCACUUAGUUAAAGAUAACUCAGAUGUUGAAUUAUCAUCA